rnacentral:rRNA from 1 species
UACAGAGGAUGCAAGCGUUAUCCGGAAUGAUUGGGCGUAAAGCGUCUGUAGGUGGCUUUUUAAGUCCGCCGUCAAAUCCCAGGGCUCAACUCUGGACAGGCGGUGGAAACUACCAAGCUGGAGUACGGUAGGGGCAGAGGGAAUUUCCGGUGGAGCGGUGAAAUGCGUAGAGAUCCGGAAGAACACCGGUGGCGAAGGCGGCCUGCUGGGCAGUGGCUGACGCUGAGGCGCGACAGCGUGGGGAGCAAACAGG